GUUAAGGCUGAGGCGUGAUGACGAGGCACCACGGUGCUGAAGUGACAAAUGCCCUGCUUCCAGGAAAAGCCUCUAAGCAUCAGGUAACAUCAAAUCGUACCCCAAACCGACACAGGUGGUCAGGUAGAGAAUACCAAGGCGCUUGAGAGAACUCGGGUGAAGGAACUAGGCAAAAUGGUGCCGUAACUUCGGGAGAAGGCACGCUGACAUGUAGGUGAAGCCCCUGCGGGUGGAGCUGAAGUCAGUCGAAGAUACCAGCUGGCUGCAACUGUUUAUUAAAAACACAGCACUGUGCAAACACGAAAGUGGACGUAUACGGUGUGACGCCUGCCCGGUGCCGGAAGGUUAAUUGAUGGGGUUAUCGCAAGAGAAGCUCCUGAUCGAAGCCCCGGUAAACGGCGGCCGUAACUAUAACGGUCCUAAGGUAGCGAAAUUCCUUGUCGGGUAAGUUCCGACCUGCACGAAUGGCGUAAUGAUGGCCAGGCUGUCUCCACCCGAGACUCAGUGAAAUUGAACUCGCUGUGAAGAUGCAGUGUACCCGCGGCAAGACGGAAAGACCCCGUGAACCUUUACUACAGCUUGACACUGAACAUUGAGCCUUGAUGUGUAGGAUAGGUGGGAGGCUUUGAAGCGUGGACGCCAGUCUGCGUGGAGCCAACCUUGAAAUACCACCCUUUAAUGUUUGAUGUUCUAACCUGGCGCCGUGAUCCGGCGUGGGGACAGUGUCUGGUGGGUAGUUUGACUGGGGCGGUCUCCUCCCAAAGUGUAACGGAGGAGCACGAAGGUCAGCUAAUCCUGGUCGGACAUCAGGAGGUUAGUGCAAUGGCAUAAGCUGGCUUGACUGCGAGAGUGACGGCUCGAGCAGGUGCGAAAGCAGGUCAUAGUGAUCCGGUGGUUCUGUAUGGAAGGGCCAUCGCUCAACGGAUAAAAGGUACUCCGGGGAUAACAGGCUGAUACCGCCCAAGAGUUCAUAUCGACGGCGGUGUUUGGCACCUCGAUGUCGGCUCAUCACAUCCUGGGGCUGAAGUAGGUCCCAAGGGUAUGGCUGUUCGCCAUUUAAAGUGGUACGCGAGCUGGGUUUAGAACGUCGUGAGACAGUUCGGUCCCUAUCUGCCGUGGGCGCUGGAGAAUUGAGGGGGGCUGCUCCCAGUACGAGAGGACCGGAGUGGACGCAUCACUGGUGUUCGGGUUGUCAUGCCAAUGGCACUGCCCGGUAGCUAAAUGCGGAAGAGAUAAGUGCUGAAAGCAUCUAAGCACGAAACUUGCCCCGAGAUGAGUUCUCCCUGAGACUUUAAGUCUCCUGAAGGAACGUUGAAGACGACGACGUUGAUAGGCCGGGUGUGUAAGCGCAGCGAUGCGUUGAGCUAACCGGUACUAAUGAACCGUGAGGCUUAACCUU
rnacentral:rRNA from 1 species